rnacentral:tRNA from 1 species
GGCCUUGUGGUGUAAUGGAUAGCAUGACGGUCUUCGGAACCGUUCGUCGGGGUUCGAGUCCCUGCAGGGCCA